rnacentral:rRNA from 1 species
GAUGAACGCUGGCGGCGUGCCUAAUACAUGCAAGUCGAGCGAACAGACGAGGAGCUUGCUCCUCUGACGUUAGCGGCGGACGGGUGAGUAACACGUGGAUAACCUACCUAUAAGACUGGGAUAACUUUGGGAAACCGGAGCUAAUACCGGAUAAUAUAUUGAACCGCAUGGUUCAAUAGUGAAAGACGGUUUUGCUGUCACUUAUAGAUGGAUCCGCGCCGCAUUAGCUAGUUGGUAAGGUAACGGCUUACCAAGGCAACGAUGCGUAGCCGACCUGAGAGGGUGAUCGGCCACACUGGAGCUGAGACACGGUCCAGACUCCUACGGGAGGCAGCAGUAGGGAAUCUUCCGCAAUGGGCGAAAGCCUGACGGAGCAACGCCGCGUGAGUGAUGAAGGUCUUCGGAUCGUAAAACUCUGUUAUUAGGGAAGAACAAAUGUGUAAGUAACUAUGCACGUCUUGACGGUACCUAAUCAGAAAGCCACGGCUAACUACGUG